AUUGAACGCUGGCGGCAGGCUUAACACAUGCAAGUCGAACGAGUGGCGGAAGGGUGAGUAAUGCUUGGGAAUCUAGCUUAUGGAGGGGGAUAACUACGGGAAACUGUAGCUAAUACCGCGUACCAUAGGAUGAGCCCAAGUGGGAUGAGGUAGUUGUGGAGGUAAAGGCUCACAAAGCCGACGAGCUCUCGCUGGUCUGAGCUGCUGACCAGCCAAACUGGGACGGAGACACGGCCUGUACUCCUACGGGAGGCAGCAGUGGGGAAUAUUGCGCAAUGUGGGCAACCUGACGCAGCCAUGCCGCGUGAAUGAAGAAGGCCUUCGGGUUUUAAAGUUCUUUCGGUAGCGAGGCGUUAACUACAGAAGAAGCACCGGCUAACUCCGUGCCAGCAGCCGCGGUAAUAC
rnacentral:rRNA from 1 species